rnacentral:rRNA from 1 species
AGGAUAAACGCUGGCGGCGUGCUUAACACAUGCAAGUCGAGCGGUAAGGCCCUUUCGGGGGUACACGAGCGGCGAACGGGUGAGUAACACGUGGGUGACCUGCCCUUAGCUCUGGGAUAAGCCUGGGAAACUGGGUCUAAUACCGGAUAUGACCUCAUGACGCAUGUUGUGGGGUGGAAAGCCUUGUGCGGCUAGGGAUGGGCCCGCGGCCUAUCAGCUUGUUGGUGGGGUGAUGGCCUACCAAGGCGACGACGGGUA